rnacentral:rRNA from 1 species
UGACCUCGAAUCAGGUAGGACUACCCGCUGAACUUAAGCAUAUCAGUAAUCGGAGGAGAAGACACCGUGGUGUGCUCUCCGCAUGUUCACCUACAGAA